GCUUGAGAAGAGAGGUGGCCUCCGCCUUGCAGAUGAGACUGGGGUUCGGAGCCUGGCAGGGGCAAGGCUGUCUUUGCCAACCCGGCAGGUCUCUCUCUGAUUCUGAGGAGCACGGCAGGGUCGGGGAUCAUCCAACCUCCAAGCAAGAGGAAAGGGAGAGGAAGGUGAAGGCAACAGACAGAGUUCUUGACCCCAGGGUCUGGGUCAGGGGGCACUCUCCAGAUAUUCCACAGUUUUAGGGGGCCAUUUAGCUGGGAUCCUGGACACUGGGAGCAAGAAAAAGAGAAAGAUGGUGAUUCCAAACUACAGGCUUCUGGAGGAAGAACACGUGCAGAGAAGAGCAGACAAGUAGUGUUUUUUAUGCAUAUUAACUGGCAGACGUGAUGCUGUGUGUUCAGCAAAUCCUGUUUCCCUUCUCCUCCGACAUGCAUCUAGACUACAUUUCCCAGCCUUCCCUGCAAGGAGAGUGUCACAUGACUGAGUCUGACCAAUGGAAUGUGGGAGAAGUCGUCUCUUACAGGCAAAUAUGUGGUCCGUUCAAAGGCCUAUCCCUUGUAAGAGUGGUUUCUCUGCACUGGAGGGAUCUCCCUCCUGUUUCCUUUUGAAGAUGGUGUUUGGCUGUGUGGAGAAGCUUUCAUGGGCCGGGAAAGGAGUCUCUUGCCCUACCUGCCAUCGCUGGACCUGCUCAGGAGUGGCGGAUCUGGCCUACCCUGGUCUCUGGGCACCGCAUCCACAUUCUCUGAGGCUGACUGGACUCUGCUUUGCCCUGAAAACUUCCAAUUCACAGCCAAUCUUCUUCCCAUAUGUUGUUUUUUUCUGUGGCUGCUCUAAUAAAGUCCCACAAACCCGGUGGU